AUUGAACGCUGGCGGCAGGCUUAACACAUGCAAGUCGAGCGAGCGGCGGACGGGUGAGUAAUGUCUGGGAAACUGCCUGAUGGCGGGGGAUAACUACUGGAAACGGUAGCUAAUACCGCAUACCCUCAGAUGUGCCCAGAUGGGAUUGGCUAGUAGGGGGGGUAAUGGCUCACCUAGGCGACGAUCCCUAGCUGGUCUGAGGGGAUGACCAGCCAAACUGGAACUGAGACACGGUCCAGACGCCUACGGGAGGCAGCAGUGGGGAAUAUUGGACAAGGGGCGCAAGCCUGAGGAAGCCAUGCCGCGUGGGGGAAGAAGGCCUUCGGGUUGUAAAGCACUUUCAGCGAGGAGGCGGUACUCGCAGAAGAAGCACCGGCUAACUCCGUGCCAGCAGCCGCGGUAAUAC
rnacentral:rRNA from 1 species